rnacentral:rRNA from 1 species
AUGAUUCUUCCGCAGUGACACUUAUUGAAGCCGAUGUGACCCUCCCGGGGUUCUGUCGCGACGUUAAAUAAUGAUGGUUAGCACAAGUGGCUCUCUUUGCCGCGAUAUAAUUGAAAUGCGGGGAUCUCCUAAAGCUGUAGGUACCAACUCAGGAUGGAAACGUCCUGGGGGCUCAUGUUAACGGCAUGAGGCGUGGUCACAAUCUUACAGAUGUAACAAUGGAUAAUCCGCAGCCUGUCCCUAAAAGCCUCUCUUGGCUCAUGGGAGCGGUUCACAGACUAGGUAAUUAUAGGCAGCGUUUCGACGCUGCUUAAGAUAUAGUCGGGCUUUCCUGGAAACAUGAAAGAGUAAGUCACUGUAGAUUUACAAGACGCAUGCGAGAGCAUGCGUCAGAUAACCGUUCCGUAGGUGAACCUGCGGAAGGAUCAUUACAGAGUUCAUGCCCUAACGGGUAGACCUCCCACCCUUUUUUUAUACUUUGCGAAUCCGGCGAGUUGUCCCGGGCUUAACUGCCCGGGACCCCAGGCUCUCGGGCCUGGGAGUCGCUCGCCGGGGGAGCAUUAAAUUCUGAUAAUUUUGUCGUCUGAGUACUAUAUAAUAGUUAAAACUUUCAACAACGGAUCUCUUGGUUCUGGCAUCGAUGAAGAACGCAGCGAAAUGCGAUAAGUAAUGUGAAUUGCAGAAUUCAGUGAAUCAUCGAAUCUUUGAACGCACAUUGCGCCCCUUGGUAUUCCGGGGGGCAUGCCUGUUCGAGCGUCAUUUCAACCCUCAAGCCUAGCUUGGUAUUGGGCUUCGCCGGUCACACGGCGGGCUUUAAAAUCAGUGGCGGCGCCGCUGGGCCCUGAACGUAGUAAUAUAUUUCGUUAUAGGUGUCUGGUGUGCUUCUGCCAUUAAACCC